UACGUAGGGGGCAAGCGUUGUCCGGAUUUAUUGGGCGUAAAGAGCGUGUAGGCGGUCUGGUAGGUCCGUUGUGAAAACUCGAGGCUCAACCUCGAGACGCCGAUGGAAACCCUCAGACUAGAGUCCGGAAGAGGAGAGUGGAAUUCCUGGUGUAGCGGUGAAAUGCGCAGAUAUCAGGAAGAACACCGGUGGCGAAGGCGGGUCUCUGGGCCGAAAUUGACGCUGAGGAGCGAAAGCGUGGGGAGCAAACAGG
rnacentral:rRNA from 1 species